rnacentral:lncRNA from 1 species
GGCAAAGCCAUACUGAAUUCUAUUGACACAUCUUGCCAAGGAUGAAUAGGAAACGACAAAGGAGUGUAAACACCAUGCUUGAAAGUUUUUUUCGUCAUCCAACAUGUAACACACUUGCCCACUAUGUUGGUUACAUCCCUAACAUCUUUAGGCCAGAAGAAAUGUUCUUAAAGCACCUUCAAAGUUUUGGUAAUGGAAAAAUGACCCGCCAAACCACCACCAUGAGCUUCACGAAUCAACAACUCCCGUAUUGCAUGUUUAGGGACACAAAGGUGAUUGCCUUUUGAUGCCUUUAUGGGCUUGAUUAAGUGAGUGGGGCUGUGUUUAGGUAAAUUAAGCUAGAAUAACAACCACAAUUGAUAGGUGUAUUGGAAGAAAUGGAUCAACUAGUAACAAAUCAAGACCUACUAAGUUGUAUACCCGUGAAAACUAUCCAAGACAUAAUAUUUGUUUGAAUGCGUAUCAAGUCAAGAACACAUCUCGACUAUGACAAGUAGUGAACUAUAACUAUAAUUCAAAGUGAACAAAGGUUCUUUUGAUUAAAGUUUCAUCUAUCUCUUUUUUCCAUGGAUAAUUGGCUUAUAUGAAGCCUUUAUUACAAAGUUGGUGGUUACAAACCACCCAACCAACUACUUAGUAAAACUAAUAAUGGAAAUUAAAGAAACUCAUGAAACCACACAAAAAAACGUCUGACACACUAAUGAAUGAUAAAAGCGUCCAUGCUCCAUUAAGGAGCAAAAAGAAGCAUUAAAAUGUAACCCAAAUCCACCGAAGAGUAUCAGUGAUGGCUAAAAGGCUUGAUGAAGCCAAAAGUAACGGUUUUGAGUACUUAUUAAGCCUUUAAAAUGUUGCCCUAUCCUUCAUGCGACCCUAAUUCAAUACGUAGGUUACCAUGCACAACCCAACCAUUGAGUACAAACCACCUUCUAGCCUACUAGUAAUCACCUUUUUCGGCUUUUCAUGAGCCAUGCAUGGAUCCUCCCCUCCCUCUUUGAAAGGAAAUGACCUUAAUUCAUCAAGGACAUCCUCAACAAGAUAUGGUGAAACGUCUCCUACAUUAAAGGUAGCAUGCACUCCAUGGUCUUGUCCUAGAUCAACCUUAUAAGUAUUAUCAUUGACAUGUGUCACCACUUUGUAAGGACCUUCAGCUGAUGGCAUCAACUUUUGUUCUUCCUUUUGUUAGCAAUACGUUCUUUCCUCAUAUGCACCUAAACCAAGUCACCAUCUUGUAAGACACGUGGUUUCCUAUGCAUGUUGGAAUUCUAUUUGUACACGCCAUUCACAGCUUCAAUCUUCACACAAACUUGUUGGUGUAGUUACAUCAUGGCCUUCAAAUUGUCAUUUGCAUCGUUGUGAACCAAUACAUCAUUUGGAAAUGGAAUCAAAUACAAAGGCUUGUAUGGAUUCACUCCAUACACCACUUACGAAGGCUUAUAAGGACCUUCAACUUUUGGCAUCAACUUUUGUUCUUCCUUUUGUUUGGAAAACGUUCUUUCCUCAUAUGCACCUAAACCAAGUCACCAUCUUGAAAGACACGAGGUUUCCUAUACAUGUUGGAAUUUUAUUUAUACACGUCAUUCACGGCUUCAAUCUUCACACGAGCUUGUUGGUGUAGUUUCUUCCGGGCCUUCAACUUGUCAUUCGCAUCCUUGUGAGCCAAUUCAUCAUUUGGAAAUUGAAUAAUAUACAAAGGCUUGUAAGGAUUCACACCAUAGACCACUUACAAAGGCUUGUAAGGACCUUCAGCUCUUGGCAUCAACUUUUGUUCUUCCUUUUGUUACGAAAACGUUCUUUCCUCAUAUGCACCUAAACCAAGUCACCAUCUUGAAAGACAUGUGGUUUCCUAUGCAUGGUUGAAUUCUAUUUGUACACGUCAUUCAUGGCUUCAAUCUUCACAAGAACUUGUUGGUGUAGUUUCAUCAUGGCCUUCAACUUGUCAUUAGUAUCCCUGUGAACCAAUUCAUCGUUUGAAAAUGGAAUCAAAUAUAAAGACUUGUAAGGAUUCACACUAUACCCCACUUAUAAAGGGAGUGACCUGUAGCAUAAAUAGGAGAACGAUUACAGGCAAACUCAGCCUGUGCAAGUUUGAUGUCCAACUGUUUUUGAGUUUUGCUAACCAACCCCCUCAAUAAACGUACCCAAAGUUCUAUUAGUCACCUUCGUUUGCCCAUCAGUUUGUGGAUGAUGGGACGUACUAAAAAGUAACUUUGUACCAACUUUCCUCCACAAUGUGUUCCAAAUGUAACUCAAAAACAAGGAAUCCCUAUCAGAAACAAUAGUUUUACGAAUAAUAUGCAAGCGAACCACUUCUUUAAAGUACAAAUCAGAGACAUUAGAUGAAUCAUUGGUUUUAUGACAUGGCAUAAAGUGAGCCAUUUUUGAAAACCUAUCCACCACCACUAUAAUGGAUUCCUUCCCCCUUUGAGUUCUAGCAAAAUCCAUACUAAAUUCCAUUGACACCUCUUGCCAAGGACGAAUAGGAACCGACAAAGGAGUGUAAACACCAUGCUUGAAAGUUUUUUUCGUCAUCCGACAUGUAACAAAGUUGCCCACUAUGUUGGUUACAUCCCUAACAUAUUUAGGCCAGAAGAAAUGUUCUUAAAGCACCUUCAAAGUUUUGGUAAUGGAAAAAACCACCACCAUGAGCUUCACGAAUCAGCAACUCCUGUAUUGCAUGUUUAGGGACACAAAGGUCAUUGCCUUUUGAUGCCUUUAUGGGCUUGAUUAAGUGAGUGGGGCUGUGUUUAGGUAAAUUAAGCUACAAUAACAACCACAAUUGAUAGGUGUAUAGGAAGAAAUGGAUAGAUUAGUAACAAAUCAAGACCUACUAAGUUGUAUACCCGUGAAAACUAUCCAAGACAUAAUAUUUGUUUGAAUGCGUAUCAAGUCAAGAACACAUCUCGACUAUGACAAGUAGUGAACUAUAACUAUAAUUCAAAGUGAACAAAGGUUCUUUUGAUUAAAGUUUCAUCUAUCUCUUUUUUCAAUGGAUAAUUGGCUUAUAUGAAGCCUUUAUUACAAAGUUGGUGGUUACAAGCCACCCAACCAACUACUCAGUAAAACUAAUAAUGGAAAUUAAAGAAACUCAUGAAACCACACAAAAAAACGUCUGACACACUAAUGAAUGAUAAAAGCAUCCAUGCUCCAUUAAGGAGCAAAAAGAAGCAUUAAAAUGUAACCCAAAUCCACCGAAGAGUAUCUACAAUGGCUAAAAGGCUUGAUGAAGCCAAAAGUAACGGUUUUGAGAACUUAUUAAGCCUUUAAAAUGUUGCCCUAUCCUUCAUGCGACCCUAAUUCAAUACGUAGGUUACCAUGCACAACCCAACCAUUGAGUACAAACCACCUUCUAGCCUACUAGUAAUCACUAACCCAUCACUUUUUUCGGUUUUUCAUGAUCCAUGCAUGGAUCCUCCCCUCCCUCUUUGAAAGGAAAUGACCUUAAUUCAACAAGGCCAUCCUCAACAACAUACUGUGAAAGGUCUCCCACAUUAAAGGUAGCAUGCACUCCAUGCUUUCGUCCCACAUCAACCUUAUAAGUAUUGUCAUCGACAUGUGUCACCACUUUUUAAGGACCUUCAGCGCUUGGCAUCAACUUUUGUUCUUCCCUUUGUUAGCAAAACGUUCUUUCCUCAUAUGCACCUAAACCAAGUCACCAUCUUGUAAGACACAUGGUUUCCUAUGCAUGUUGAAAUUUUGUUUGUACACGUCAUUCACAGCUUCAAUCUUCACACAAACUUGUUGGUGUAGUUACAUCAUGGCCUUCAAAUUGUCAUUUGCAUCCUUGUGAAAAAAUUCAUCAUUUGGAAAUGGAAUCAAAUACAAAGGCUUGUAAGGAUUCACACCAUACACCACUUACGAAGGCUUAAGGACCUUCAACAUUUGGCAUCAACUUUAGUGAUUCCUUUUGUUUGGAAAACGUUCUUUCCUCAUAUGCACCUAAACCAAGUCACCAUCUUGAAAGACACGAGGUUUCCUAUACAUGUUGGAAUUCUGAUUGUACACGUCAUUCACGGCUUCAAUCUUCACACGAGCUUGUUGGUGUAGUUUCGUCAUGGCCUUCAACUUGUCAUUAGCAUCCUUGUGAACCAAUUCAUCAUUUGGAAAUGGAAUAAUAUACAAAGGCUUGUAAGGAUUAACACCAUACACCACUUACAAAGGCUUGUAAGGACCUUCAGCUCUUUGCAUCAACUUUUGUUCUUCCUUUUGUUAGGAAAACGUUCUUUCCUCAUAUGCACCUAAACCAAGUCACCAGCUUGAAAGACAUGUGGUUUCCUACGCAUGUUGGAAUUCUGUUUGUACACAUCAUUCAUGGCUUGAAUCUUCACAAGAACUUGUUGGUGUAGUUUCAUCAUGGCCUUCAACUUGUCAUUAGCAUCCUUGUGAACCAAUUCAACGUUUGGAAAUGGAAUCAAAUAUAAAGGCUGGUAAGGAUUCACACAAUACAUCACUUAUAAAGGACAGUGACCUGUAGGAUAAGUAGGAGAACGAUUACAGGCAAACUCAGCAUGUGCAAGUUUGAUGUCCAACUAUUUUUGAGUUUUGCUAACCAACCCCCUCAACAACGUACCCAAAGUUCUAUUAGUCACCUUCGUUUGCCCAUCAGUUUGUGGUUGAUGGGACGUACUAAAAAGUAACUUAGUACCAACUUUCCUCCACAAAGUGUUCCAAAUGUAACUCAAAAACAAGGAAUCCCUAUCAGAAACAAUAGUUUUACGAAUAAUAUGCAAGCGGACCACUUCUUUAAAGUACAAAUCAGAAAGAUUAGAUGAAUCAUUGGUUUUAUGACAUGGCAAAAAGUGAGCCAUUUUUGAAAACCUAUCCACCACCAAUAUAAUGGAUUCCUUCCUCCUUUGAGUUCUAGGCAAAGCCAUACUGAAUUCCAUCGACACAUNGAAACGACAAAGGAGUGUAAACACCAUGCUUGAAGGUUUUUUCGUCAUCCGACAUGUAACACACUUGCCCACUAUGUUGGUUACAUCCCUAACAUCUUUAGGCCAGAAGAAAUGUUCUUAAAGCACCUUCAAAGUUUUGGUAAUGGAAAAAUGACCCGCCAAACCACCACCAUGAGCUUCACGAAUCAGCAACUCCCGUAUUGCAUGUUUAGGGACACAAAGGUCAUUGCCUUUUGAUGCCUUUAUGGGCUUGAUUAAGAGAGUGGGGUUGUGUUUAGGUAAAUUAAGCUAGAAUAACAACCACAAAUGAUAGGUGUAUGGGAAGAAAUGGAUACAUUAGUAACAAAUCAAGACCUACUAAGUUGUAUACUCGUGAAAACUGUCCAAGACAUAAUAUUUGUUUGAAUGCGUAUCAAGUCAAGAACACGUCUCAACUAUAACAAGUAGUGAAAUAUAACUAUAAUUAAAAGUGAACAAAGGUUCUUUUGAUUAAAAUUUCAUCUAUCUCUUUUUCCAUGCAUAAUUGGCUUAUAUGAAGCCUUUAUAUCAAAGUUGGUGGUUACAAACCAACCACCCAACUACUCAGUAAAACUAAUAAUGGAAAUUAAAGAAACUCAUGAAACCACACAAAAAAAAACGUCUGACACACUAAUUAAUGAAAAAACGUCCAUGCUCCAUUAAGUAGCAAAAAGAAGCAUUAAAGUGUAACCCAAAUCCACCAAAGAGUAUCAACAAUGGCUAGAAGGUUUGAUGAACCAAAAAGUAACGGUUUUGAGCACUUAAUAAGCCUUUAAAAUAUUGCCCUGACCUUCACGCGACCCUAAUUCAAUACGUAGGUUGCCAUGCACAACCCAACCAUUAAGUACAAACCACCUUCUAGCCUACUAGUAAUGACUAAUCCAUCACCUUUUUCGGCUUUUCAUGACCCUUGCAUGGAUCCUCCCCUCCCUCUUUGGAAGGAAAUGACCUUAAUUCAUCAAGGCCAUCCUCAACAAGAUACGGUGAAAGCUCUCCCACAUUAAAGGUAGCAUGCACUCCAUGGUCUCCUCCCAGAUCCACCUUAUAAGCAUUAUCAUUGACAUGUGUCAUCACUUUGUAAGGACCUUCAGCUCUUGGCAUCAACUUUUGUUCUUCCUUUUGUUAGGAAAACGUUCUUUCCUCAUAUGCUCCUAAACCAAGUCACCAUCUUGUAAGACACGUGGUUUCCUAUGCAUAUUGGAAUUCUGUUUGUACAUGUCAUUCACAGCUUCCUUCUUCACACAAACUUGUUGGUGUAGUUACAUCAUGGCCUUCAAAUUGUCAUUUGCAUCCUUGUGAACUAAUUCAUCAUUUGGAAAUGGAAUCAAAUACAAAGGCUUGUAAGGAUUCACACCAUACACCACUUACGAAGGCUUAUAAGGACCUUCAGCUCUUGGCAUCAACUUUUGUUCUUCCUUUUGUUUGGUCAACGUUCUUUCCUUAUAUGCACCUAAAUUAAGUCACCAUCUUGAAAGACACGUGCUUUCCUAUACAUGUUGGAAUUGUACUCGUCAUUCACGGCUUCAGUCUUCUCACGAGCUUGUUGGUGUAGUUUCACCAUGGCCUUCAACUUGUCAUUAGCAUACUUGUGAACCAAUUCAUCGUUUGGAAAUGGAAUCAAAUACAAACGCUUUUAAGGAUUCACACGAUACACCACUUACAAAAGCUUGUAAGGACAGCUCUCGACAUCAACUUUUGUUCUUCCUUUUGUUAGGAAAACAUUAUUUCCUCAUAUACACCUAAACUAUGUCACCAGCUUGAAAGACAUGUGGUUUCCUAUGCAUGUUGGAAUUUUGUUUAUACACGUCAUUCAUGUCUUCAAUCUUCAAAAGAACUUGUAUGUGUAGUUUCAUCAUGGCCUUCAACUUGUCAUUAGCAUCCUUGUGAACCAAUUCAUCGUUUGGAAAUGGAAUCAAAUAUAAAGGCUUGUAAGGAUUCACACCAUACAUCAGUUAUAAAGGACAGUGACCUGUAGCAUAAGUAGGAAAACGAUUACAGGGAAACACAGCAUGUGCAAGUUUGAUGUCCAACUAUUUUUGAGUUUUGCUAACCAACCCCCUCAACAACAUACCCAAAGUUCUAUUAGUCAUCUUCGUUUGCCCGUCAGUUUGUGGAUGAUGGGACGUACUAAAAAAUAACUUAGUACCAACUUUCCUCCACAAAGUGUUCCAAAUGUAAGUCAAAAACAAGGAAUCCCUAUCAGAAACAAUAGUUUUAGGAAUAAUAUACAAGCGAACCACUUCUUUAAAGUACAAAUCAAACACAUUAGAUGAAUGGGUUUUAUGACAUGGCAUAAAGUGAGCCAUUUUUGAAAACCUAUCCACCACCACUAUAAUGGAUCCAUUCCUCCUUUGAGUUCUAGGCAAAGCCAUACUGAAUUCCAUCGACACAUCUUGCCAAGGACGAAUACGAACCGUCAAAGGAGUGUAAACACCAUGCUUGAAAGUUUUUUUCGUCAUCCGACAUGUAACACACUUUCCCACUAUGUUGGUUACAUCCCUAACAUCUUUAGGAUAGAAGAAAUGUUCUUAAAGCACCUUCAAAGUUUUGGUAAUGGAAAAAUGACCCGCCAAACCACCACCAUGAGCUUCACGAAUCAGCAACUCCCGUAUUGCAUGUUUAGGGACACAAAGGUCAUUGCCUUUUGAUGCCUUUAUGGGCUUGAUUAAGAGAGUGGGGUUGUGUUUAGGGAAAUUAAGCUAGAAUAACAACCACAAAUGAUAGGUGUAUGGGAAGAAAUGGAUAGAUUAGUANCAAGACCUACUAAGUUGUAUACCCGUGAAAACUAUCCAAGACAUAAUAUUUGUUUGAAUGCAUAUCAAGUCAAGAACAGGUCUCGACUAUGACAAGUAGUGAACUAUAACUAUAAUUCAAAGUGAACAAAGGUUCUUUUGAUUAAAAUUUCAUCUAUCUCUUUUUUCCAUGCAUAAUUGGCUUAUAUGAAGCCUUUAUUACAAAGUUGUUGGUUACAAACCACCCAACCAACUACUCAGUAAAACUAAUAAUGGAAAUUAAAGAAACUCAUGAAACCACACAAAAAAAACGUCUGACACACUAAUGAAUGAAAAAAGUGUCCAUGCUCCAUUAAGUAGCAAAAAGAAGCAAUAAAGUGUAACCCAAAUCCACCAAAGAGUAUCAACAAUGACUAGAAGGCUUGAUGAAGCAAAAAGUAACGAUUUUGAGCACUUAUUAAGCCUUUAAAAUGUUGCCCUAGCCUUCAUGCGACCCUAAUUCAAUACGUAGAUUACCAUACACAACCCAACCGUUGAGUAUAAACCUCCUUCUAGCCUACUAUUAAUCAAUCACUAAUCCAUCACCUUUUUCGGCUUUUAAUGAGCCAUGCAUGGAUCCUCCCCUCCCUCUUUGAAAGUAAAUGACCUUAAUUCAAAAAGGCCAUCCUCAACUAGAUACGGUGAAAGCUCUCCCACAUUAAAGGUAGCAUGCACUCCAUGGUCUCCUCCCAGAUCCACCUUAUAAGCAUUAUCAUUGACAUGUGUCACCACUUUGUAAGGACCUUCAGCUCUUGGCAUCAACUUUUGUUCUUCCUUUUGUUAGGAAAAUAUUCUUUCCUCAUAUGCACCUAAACCAAGUCACCAUCUUGUAAGACACGUGGUUUCAUAUGCAUGUUGGAAUUCUGUUUGUACAUGUCAUUCACAGCUUCCAUCUUCACACAAACUUGUUGGUGUAGUUACAUCAUGGCCUUCAAAUAGUCAUUUGCAUCCUUGUGAACCAAUUCAUCAUUUGGAAAUGGAAUCAAAUACAAAGGCUUGUAAGGAUUCACACCAUACACCACUUACAAAAGCUUGUAAGCACAGCUCUCGGCAUCAACUUUUGUUCAUCCUUUUGUUAGGAAAACAUUAUUUCCUCAUAUACACCUAAACCAUGUCACCAUCUUGAAAGACACGUGGUUUCCUAUGCAAGUUGGAAUUCUAUUUGUACACGUCAUUCACGGCUUCAAUCUUCAGACGAACUUGUUGGUGUAGUUUCAACAUGGCCUUCAACUUGUCAUUAGCAUCCUUGUGAACCAAUUCAUCGUUUGGAAAUGGAAUCAAAUACAAUGGAUUGUAAGGAUUCACACCAUACACCACUUAUAAAGGAGUGACCUAUAGCAUAAGUAGGAGAAUGAUUACUCGUAAACUCAGCAUGUGUAAGUUUGAUGUCCAACUGUUUUUGAGUUUUGCUAACCAACCCCCUCAACAACGUACCCAAAGUUCUAUUAGUCACCUUCGUUUGCCCAUCAGUUUGUGGUUGAUGGGACGUACUAAAAAGUAACUUAGUACCAACUUUCCUCCACAAAGUGUUCCAAAUUUAACUCAAAAACAAGGUUUCCCUAUCAGAAACAAUAGUUUUAGGAAUAAUAUGCAAGCGAACCACUUCUUUAAAGUACAAAUCAGACACAUUAGAUAAAUCAUUGGUUUUAUGACAUGGCAUAAAGUGAGCCAUUUUUAAAAACCUAUCCACCACCACUAUAAUGGAUUCCUUCCCCCCUUUGAGUUCUAGGCAAAGCCAUACUAAAUACCAUUGACACAUCUUGCCUAGGACGAAUAGGAACCGACAAAGGAGUGUAAACACCAUGCUUGAAAGUUUUUUUCAUCAUCUGACAUGUAACACACUUUCCCGUUAUGUUGGUUACAUCCCUAACAUCUUUAGGCCAGAAGAAAUGUUCUUAAAGCACCUUCAAAGUUUUGGUAAUGGAAAAAUGACCCGCCAAACCACCACCAUGAGCUUCACGAAUCAGCAACUCCCGUAUUGCAUGUUUAGGGACACAAAUGUGAUUGCCUUUUGAUGCCUUUAUGGGCUUGAUUAAGUGAGUAGGGCCGUGUUUAGGUAAAUUAAGCUACAAUAACAACCACAAAUGAUAGGUGUAUGGGAAGAAAUGGAUCGAUUAGUAACAAAUCAAGACCUACUAUGUUGUAUACUUGUGAAAACUAUCCAAGACAUAAUAUUUCUCUGAAUGCGUAUCAAGUCAAGAACAUGUCUCGACUAUGACAAAUAAUGAACUAUAACUAUAAUUCAAACUGAACAAAGGUUCUUUUGAUUAAAAUUUCGUCUAUCUCUUUUUUCCAUGCAUAAUUUGGCUUAUAUGAAGCCUUUAUUACAAAGUUGGUGGUUACAAGCCACCCAACCAACUACUCAGUUAAACUAAUAAUGAAAAUUAAAGAAACUCAUGAAACCACACAAAAAAACGUCUGACACACUGAUGAAUGAAAAAAGUGUCCAUGCUCCAUUAAGGAGCAAAAAGAAGCAUUAAAGUGUAAUCCAAAUCCACCAAAGAGUAUCAACAAUGGCUAGAAGGCUUGACGAAGCAAAAAGUAACAGUUUUGAGCACUUAUUAAGCCUUUAAAAUGUUGCCCUAGCCUUCAUGCGACCCUAAUUUAAUACGUAGGUUACCAUGCACAACCCAACCAUUGAGUACAAACCACCUUCUGGCCUACUAGUAAUCACUAAUCCAUCACAUUUUUCGGCUUUUCAUGAGCCAUGCAUGGAUCCUCCCCUCCCUCUUUGAAAGGAAAUGACCUUAAUUCAUCAAGGCCAUCCUCAACAAGAUACGGUGAAAGGUCUCCCACAUUAAAGGUAGCAUGC